GGCCAUGCAUGAUUAAAUUAAAUAAUAAAAUAUAAAAUUAUAUUUAAUAAUUCAUUUUAAAAUAUUUCAUUAAUAAUUUGGGUUUUAAAUUAAUUAAUUAAAUUGGAUAAAUUUUAUUAUUUGGUCCUCUAAAUUGUUGAUUUAUUCUGGACAGGUCUGAUAGCUUUGUUGGAUUACAAAACCAUCCAAAUUGGGGACCAAGUCAACCCAAAAUUCGGCUGAACAUGGCUAUCCAUAAACCACUUUUUCGUUUAAUUGCUCAAGGUCCUUGAAGAGUUGAAAAGAUUAGAGAUUUACCUGAAGAUUUGCACUUGACCGAGUUUCAGUCCUGAGUUGUUGUGGCAAUCAAAUUGACCAAAAAUCAAGCAAAAAUUAGAUCAACUUCCUCCAUUUAUGGCCGGCCACCCGUGGAAGAUGCUUCAAAAGAUGAAAAUUCCUAUUUUUAGUAAACUAUCCCCCUCUCCUCACCUAUAAAUAAUCCCUCAUCCCUCAUCCCUCAUCAUUCAUCAUUCUCUCCUCUCUAAAUUCUCUUAGCAUUCUUCUUUUCUCUCCACACCUAUCAUCAUCAUUUCACAAAGAUUUUAGCAUUUGAGCCUCUUAAAGAACCCUUGGAGAGCCAUCAGCAAAGGAGCAAAGGACCAAAAGAGCCUCGUCAGUCAGAGUCUUGGGUGACAACCACUUUGAAUUGGGUUUAAUCUUUCUUUUCUUUAAUUGAAUUUAAAGAUGUUUGCUAUGUGUUCUUUGUUCUUGUUUAC
rnacentral:lncRNA from 1 species